UUUAGAAGAUAAGCGUAAAGUUGGCUGUUUGCUGUCUGCUUUAUGACGAAAAUCAAUAGCAAAAUAAGCAUGUAGAAAUCUUAUGUAUUGCUUGUUUGGACGAGGGUUCGAAUCCCUCCAACUCCACUU
rnacentral:tmRNA from 1 species